rnacentral:lncRNA from 1 species
AGGUAGCUGACUACGGACUCGUUGGCGAUCUUUUUGAAGUGAUUCCAGAGUUGCUAGAAAAGUUCCCGGAGAAAAAAUAGAUGUGUGCGCGCUCAAAUUCCAGGUCCCGGAGAAAAAAUAGAUGUGUGCGCGCUCAAAUUCCAGGUCCAAUUGCUAAAAAAUAAGUGAUAAAAGAAAUAAUACAUUGCUGAUUUUUUUUUUAUAAAUAAUUUCGGGUGAGAUAAAAAAGUUAUAAGUAACAUGGUG